UACGUAGGGGGCAAGCGUUGUCCGGAUUUAUUGGGCGUAAAGAGCGUGUAGGCGGUUUGGUAGGUCCGCUGUGAAAACUCGAGGCUCAACCUCGAGACGUCGGCGGAAACCCUCUGGCUAGAGUCCGGAAGAGGAGAGUGGAAUUCCUGGUGUAGCGGUGAAAUGCGCAGAUAUCAGGAAGAACACCCGUGGCGAAGGCGGCUCUCUGGGACGGUACUGACGCUGAGACGCGAAAGCGUGGGGAGCAGACAGG
rnacentral:rRNA from 1 species